rnacentral:rRNA from 1 species
GAUGAACGCUGGCGGCGUGCUUAACACAUGCAAGUCGAACGAAGCACUUUAUUUGAUUUCCUUCGGGAUUGAUUAUUUUGUGACUGAGUGGCGGACGGGUGAGUAACGCGUGGGUAACCUGCCUUGUACAGGGGGAUAACAGUUGGAAACGGCUGCUAAUACCGCAUAAGCGCACAGCAUCGCAUGAUGCAGUGUGAAAAACUCCGGUGGUAUAAGAUGGACCCGCGUUGGAUUAGCUAGUUGGUGAGGUAACGGCCCACCAAGGCGACGAUCCAUAGCCGACCUGAGAGGGUGACCGGCCACAUUGGGACUGAGACACGGCCCAAACUCCUACGGGAGGCAGCAGUGGGGAAUAUUGCACAAUGGGCGAAAGCCUGAUGCAGCGACGCCGCGUGAGCGAAGAAGUAUUUCGGUAUGUAAAGCUCUAUCAGCAGGGAAGAUAAUGACGGUACCUGACUAAGAAGCACCGGCUAAAUACGUGCCAGCAGCCGCGGUAAUACGUAUGGUGCAAGCGUUAUCCGGAUUUACUGGGUGUAAAGGGAGCGCAGGUGGUGCGGCAAGUCUGAUGUGAAAGCCCGGGGCUCAACCCCGGUACUGCAUUGGAAACUGUCGUACUAGAGUGUCGGAGGGGUAAGCGGAAUUCCUAGUGUAGCGGUGAAAUGCGUAGAUAUUAGGAGGAACACCAGUGGCGAAGGCGGCUUACUGGACGAUAACUGACGCUGAGGCUCGAAAGCGUGGGGAGCAAACAGGAUUAGAUACCCUGGUAGUCCACGCCGUAAACA